rnacentral:lncRNA from 1 species
AAAAAAAAUAGGGCUGUGGAGUAGUUCUGUGCCACUGAGUUCAAUUUUCAGUACUUCCCCCAAAAAAUCUUUUCUAAAAGGAUGGAGCAAUAUAUCAUGUUCCUAUCUGGGAAGAAUUCACACUAAAAAGGUGUCAAAGCAAUCAGUCCAAAGCAAUAAGGUUCUUUUUAUGAGUUAGACACAUUGAGAGACAAACAAUACUGAAAAUGAUAAGGUGAGCUUACCCUGUUAGAUAUUGCAUCUAACCAUGAGGUUUAUCUGUAGAUGGACCCUGUAAUCUACCAUUUUCUCUUGUAUAUAUAUAGCCUAC